rnacentral:pre_miRNA from 1 species
GUUUAAGGGCUUGAACCAAAGUCCACUAAAGUCAAUGGGAGACUUUCCAUUGACUUCAGUGGGAUUUGGAUUAGGCUGUGAAAC